GACGAACGCUGGCGGCGUGCUUAACACAUGCAAGUCGAACGGUGAAGCUCCAUCUGGCUUGAGUGGGUCAGUGACGAACGAGUAAGUAACACGUGAGCAACCUGCGCCUUACGCUGGAAUAAGCGCUAGAAACGGCGUUAACUACUGGAUACCCGUGCUGUCCGGAUGGGCACUUUCUGGUAAGUUUGUCGGUUGGGGAGGGGCUCGCGGCCUAUCAGCUUGUUGGUGAGGUAAUGGCUCACAAAGGCGACGACGGGUAGCCGGCCUGGGAGGGCGACCGGCCAAACGGGGACUGGGCACGGGCCAGGCUUCCUAGGGGAGGAGGAAGUGGGGAUUAUUGCACAAUGGGAGAAAGCCGGAGGAAGAGAGGCGGCGUGAGGGAUGAGGGCCUUCGGGUUGUAAACGUCUUUCGGCAGGGAAGAAGGGAAGGUGACGGUACCUGCAGAAGAAGCACCGGCUAACUACGUG
rnacentral:rRNA from 1 species